rnacentral:lncRNA from 1 species
GAGCCCUACAGCAACCAUCCACCAUUCGACACCACCGACCACACCUCAAAACAAUCUAGAUUGAGCGGCGCACAUGAAUCUCACGACGUCAUAUACAAUAACUUUCGAUUUCUGCCAUAGGAAAUUUCUGUAAUUCCUUGUAUGGUUCAGAUGGAUCCGACAGGAGCAGUCUCUGAUUUAUAACUUCAGUAUGCAUGUGGUGUUGCAAUCUGGAGCAGAAUCUGAUUUUCGUAAACCUCAGUAUGUAGCUUAUUCGGAAAAAUAUGAACAAAAAAUUUUGUCCAGCAGUGACAAAAAUUUUGGUGGGGAAACGGUGCCUCCUUUUACCGCCAGAGUUUGGAUCUCAUGAUUACACAUAAUUUUGUGGAAAAUUUGAUGAGAAAACUGGAUGGAAGCAAAUUUGAAUUUGUUUGGAUUUUUGCUACAAAGGAAGACACAAAAGUUACGUUUAUGAAGAAGAAGCAGAAAAAGACUUGCACAGGAAAAAAAAUUUGGCUAGUUUUAUUUUGCCGGGCGAGCAGCACAAGGUCGCUCACCGAAAAUGCAAUU